GGCAGUCAAUGGGUUUUCUUACAUCCAAUGUCCCAAAAAUUCACAUAAGCUCAAUUUCACAAGAAAAAUCAAGGUAUCAUGUGGAAUGGUCAAGAAUAUAAAAUAUCAAUUUCAUUAAAGGUUCAUUAUUCAAAAAAUUCUGAUACUCAAAUUUUCCAAUUUUUAUCAAAAGUUUGUUACCUAAAAAAUCUAAUACUCCUAAUACAGGAAAAAAUUCACAAGAGAAUUCAUCUUUUUCCUUGAUUUUCCUUCCUUUUCCUUUCCUUUUUCUUCUUUUCUUCCCUUUUCUUUCCUUUUUUCCUUGCGCUUUGCACUAAUUUUCCUUCUUUCUUUUUAUUUUUCUUCUUUCUUCUUCUUUCCUUCCAUCUCUUUUUUGCUCUUCCUUUCCUUUUUUUUCCUCCCUUCUCUGUCUCCUUCUUGCCGACACCGUUCUCGUCCUUCCCUGGUCAACGCGCCAGCCCUUCUUCUUCCUCUUUGUGGCAUUGACAAUGGAGGUUUCUUCCUCCUUGUUUGACGCCAAUGGUAACUUAUGGGUAUGGGUCUUGUAAGUUGUUGAUUGGGUUUAGAGAAAAUUGUGAGAAUCGUUGAUUGGGUUUAGAGAAAAUUUUGAGAAUUAUUGAUUGGAUUGAGAGAAAAUUGUGAGAAUGAUUGAUUGAGUUGAGAGAAAAUUGUGAGAUUGAGGGAAUAAGGGUGCUUGAUUGACCAAAAGAGAGAGAGUGUGUUUUGGCAUGUUUUGGGAGAGAAGUGAGCUGAUUAGGUAGUUUAGGAGAGAGAAAG
rnacentral:misc_RNA from 1 species